GCAUGAGCCACCGCUAUCGGCCUGAUCGUAAUAUUUUUAAAGAGAAAUGGUGAGAUGAUUCUGGAGAAGACAAUGCAGGAUGAGUCCCUCUCCAGCUUUUGAGACUGUGGGAAAAGCCUGAUAAUAAAGAUGGAGGCACGGAGCAUUAGGUCAUCAGAAUAAUUGAUACAUGUCUCCAACACUGUAGAAAUUGUGCACAUGGCCGGCACUUUCUUGUUCACUCAGAGAAAAAGUUGAACCUGUUGCUGCUGUUGCUGUUGAGUUACGAUGGGAGAAGACGUGAGACUGCCUUGCAGCUGAGAAGGCACUUCAAAGGCAAGCUCUGAGUCCCAGCAGUGAGUGGCUGGUACUCUGUAACCACACCUCCAUCACCCACUAACCCUGGUUUUGGCUGAUCCAAGUUCCAGCUAAGGACAGCUGGUGAGAAAGUUUUAUAUUCACCAUCACAAACCAAUGUAAUCACAAGGUCAUCUCCCAGAAACAAUGAGAAUAAACAGGGGCAAGAGAAAAUUGCAA